AAGGCUAGGGGGUCACCUGAUUCAUUCACCUGACGUGUCAUUCACGUGACCUGUUGUAGCAGGUAGAUAGCUACCGGGUUGCAGGCCCUUUGUUUAAAUUGAAUGGCGCGGCAAACACAGUGGUGAGAGCACUGUUUUGCGUGUGGAUUUUUGGCCGGCGGUGAUUUAACAGAGCGGUACACUGCAGUCAUCCUGCCCGUUUGCUUCCCUGGGCUUUUGUGCAACAUUAUCUGCAGUUCGCUUGGAUUUGUUGGUUCCGAGCAAGAGGUCAGCCAACUAAAUGCGUGCAGUU